rnacentral:rRNA from 1 species
GUGCCAGCAGCCGCGGUAAAACGUAGGGGGCGAGCGUUAUCCGGAAUUACUGGGCGUAAAGCGCGUGCAGGCGGCUUGGUAGGUUGGACGUGAAAGCUCCUGGCUUAACUGGGAGAGGCCGUUCAAAACCGCCAGGCUUGAGGACGGAAGAGGGGAGUGGAAUUCCCGGUGUAGUGGUGGAAUGCGUAGAUAUCGGGAGGAACACCUGUGGCGAAAGCGGCUCCCUAGUCCGUAUCUGACGCUCAGACGCGAAAGCGUGGGGAGCGAACGGGAUUAGAUACCCCGGUAGUCCACGCUGUAAACGAUGGAUGCUAGGUGUGGGAGGUCUUGACCCCUUCCGUGCCGUAGCUAACGCGUUAAGCAUCCCGCCUGGGGACUACGGCCGCAAGGUUAAA